rnacentral:piRNA from 1 species
UAAGCUUUCAAACGGGCUAAUUCCAAAAA